rnacentral:rRNA from 1 species
AUACGGAGGAUCCGAGCGUUAUCCGGAUUUAUUGGGUUUAAAGGGUGCGCAGGCGGGAGAUUAAGUCGGCGGUGAAAUUUUGCAGCUCAACUGUAAAAGGGCCUUCGAAACUGGGUUCCUUGAGUGUAGAGUAAGUAGGCGGAAUUUUUGGUGGAGCGGUGGAAUGCAUAGAUAUCACGAGGAACUCCGAUUGGGCAGGCAGCUUACUAAACUACUACUGACGCUCAGGCACGAAGGCGUGGGGAUCAAACAGGAUUAGAUACCCUGGUAGUCCACGCAGUAAACGAUGAUUACUAGCUGUUUGCGAUACAAUGUAAGCGGCUGAGCGAAAGCGUUAAGUAAUCCACCUGGGGAGUGCGUUCGCAAGAAUGAAACUCAAAGGAAUUGACGGGG